rnacentral:rRNA from 1 species
ACUCCUACGGGAGGCAGCAGUGGGGGAAUAUUUGCACAAUGGGCGCAAGCCUGAUGCAGCCAUGCCGCGUGUAUCGAAGAAGGCCUUCGGGUUGAUAAAGUACUUUCAGCAGUGAGGAGGUGGGUAUGUUAAUAGCAUACUUCAUUUGACGUUAGCUGCAGAAGAAGCACCGGCUAACUCCGUGCCAGCAGCCGCGGUAAUACGGAGGGUGCGAGCGUUAAUCGGAAUUACUGGGCGUAAAGCGCAUGCAGGUGGUUUGUUAAGUCAGAUGUGAAAGCCCGGGGCUCAACCUCGGAAUUGCAUUUGAAACUGGCAACUAGAGUACUGUAGAGGGGGGUAGAAUUUCAGGUGUAGCGGUGAAAUGC